rnacentral:rRNA from 1 species
AUUGAACGCUGGCGGCAGGCCUAACACAUGCAAGUCGAGCGAGCGGCGGACGGGUGAGUAAUGUCUGGGAAACUGCCUGAUGGAGGGGGAUAACUACUGGAAACGGUAGCUAAUACCGCAUACCAUCAGAUGUGCCCAGAUGGGAUUAGCUAGUAGGUGGGGUAACGGCUCACCUAGGCGACGAUCCCUAGCUGGUCUGAGAGGAUGACCAGCCAAACUGGAAAUGGGACAGAGCCCAGACUCCUAGGGGAGGCAGCAGUGGGGAAGAUUGCGCAGUGGGCGCAAGCAUGAUGCAGCCAUGCCGCGUGUGUGGAGAAGGCCUUAGGGUUGUAAAGCACUUUGAGCGGGGAGGCGUUACCCGGAGAAGAAGCACCGGCUAACUCCGUGCCAGCAGCCGCGGUAAUAC